CGCAGCUGAUCUAGCCAUGCCGCGUGAGUGAUGAAGGCCUUAGGGUCGUAAAGCUCUUUCGCCAGGGAUGAUAAUGACAGUACCUGGUAAAGAAACCCCGGCUAACUCCGUGCCAGCAGCCGCGGUAAUACGGAGGGGGUUAGCGUUGUUCGGAAUUACUGGGCGUAAAGCGCGCGUAGGCGGAUUGGAAAGUUGGGGGUGAAAUCCCGGGGCUCAACCCUGGAACUGCCUCCAAAACUCCUGGUCUUGAGUUCGAGAGAGGUGAGUGGAAUUCCGAGUGUAGAGGUGAAAUUCGUAGAUAUUCGGAGGAACACCAGUGGCGAAGGCGGCUCACUGGCUCGAUACUGACGCUGAGGUGCGAAAGUGUGGGGAGCAAACAGGAUUAGAUACCCUGGUAGUCCACACCGUAAACGAUGAAUGCCAGUCGUCGGGUAGCAUGCUAUUCGGUGACACACCUAACGG
rnacentral:rRNA from 1 species